rnacentral:rRNA from 1 species
UACGGGGGGGGCAAGCGUUGUUCGGAAUUACUGGGCGUAAAGGGCGCGUAGGCGGCUCGAUAAGUCAGCUGUGAAAACCAUGGGCUUAACUCAUGGCCUGCAGUUGAGACUGUCGGGCUGGAGUGUGGGAGAGGAGAGUGGAAUUCCUGGUGUAGCGGUGAAAUGCGUAGAUAUCAGGGGGAACACCGGUGGCGAAGGCGGCUCUCUGGACCACAACUGACGCUGAGGCGCGAAAGCUAGGGGAGCAAACAGG